CACAUCGCAAAUUGUCUAGUGAUUUCGACGAAACAUUUAUGUUGAUGUGAAAGUUCGAAGCUUUUGAAAGUCGCUUAUUGCGCCCGAAAGACCAACGGAUUCAAGUUUAUACGCGUACGCGAGCAUAUACAGAAAUCUUCGUGCGUUGAACAAAGUAAAUCAAGCUGAGGUAUAGAUACUGAGUGACAAGUGAAAAAAGGGAAAAUAGAGCGACUGGAUGGGUCUACUACGAAAGGCUGAAACUCAAAAGGCAGAAACACGAAAAGCUGAAACUCGAAAGGCUGAAAUCACGAAAGGCUAAAAACUACAAAAGGCUGAAAAACACGGAAUGCUGAAUCAUGAUGAGUAGAGCAUGGUGUAACGGUUUGACCAAAAACUAGGCGCGGAGUGAGGAAGCGUUGUUUCACUUUGGAGGGUUGGAGACGAGGCAUCACUAGAUGCAAUCAGCAAUAUUUAUAAGGAUUUUAUCAGGCCUAUGAAAAGACGCCUUUUUUGUGACCGAAAAAUAAUAAGCAACAUUAUGGAACCACGGUUGGUUCGAAAUGGAAAUGGAGCCAAAAAAA